rnacentral:rRNA from 1 species
AUUGAACGCUGGCGGCAUGCCUUACACAUGCAAGUCGAACGGUAACGGGCCUUCGGGUGCCGACGAGUGGCGAACGGGUGAGUAAUACAUCGGAACGUGCCCGAUCGUGGGGGAUAACGAGGCGAAAGCUUUGCUAAUACCGCAUACGAUCUACGGAUGAAAGCAGGGGACCGCUAGGCCUUGCGCGGACGGAGCGGCCGAUGGCAGAUUAGGUAGUUGGUGGGAUAAAAGCUUACCAAGCCGACGAUCUGUAGCUGGUCUGAGAGGAUGAUCAGCCACACUGGGACUGAGACACGGCCCAGACUCCUACGGGAGGCAGCAGUGGGGAAUUUUGGACAAUGGGCGCAAGCCUGAUCCAGCCAUGCCGCGUGCAGGAUGAAGGCCUUCGGGUUGUAAACUGCUUUUGUACGGAACGAAAAGCCUUCUUUUAAUACAGGAGGGUCAUGACGGUACCGUAAGAAUAAGCACCGGCUAACUACGUG